CAUGGCGGCCGCGUGGAAUUCUAUUAGAGUUUGUAUUCGGCUCAGGAUGAACGCUGGCGGUAUGCCUAACACAUGCAAGUCGAACGGUCACUUCGGUGAUAGUGGCGGACGGGUGAGUAACGCGUGAUAAUCUGCCUCUGGGUUGGGGACAACAGUUGGAAACGACUGCUAAUACCCAAUGUGCCGCAAGGUGAAAGAUUUAUUGCCAAGAGAGGAGCUCGCGUCUGAUUAGCUAGUUGGUGUUUUUUUGGCGUACCAAGGCAUCGAUCAGUAGCUGGUCUGAGAGGAUGAGCAGCCACACUGGGACUGAGACACGGACCAUACUCCUACUGGAGGCAGCAGUGGGAGAUUUUCCG
rnacentral:rRNA from 1 species